AUGGCCCAAUCCUGGGCCUCCUUCCUCCUCCUUGCUCUCUUCUCCUCCAGCCUCCUCGUCUGCGGCAGCAAUGGGGAGCGAGUCUUCCUCUACCCGCAGUCCCAGAAGGUCUCAUCCAUCGUCAGCCAGAGGUACCGGACCGCCUACCACUUCCAGCCCCCCAAGAACUGGAUCAACGAUCCAAAUGGGCCAAUGUACUACAAUGGCAUUUACCAUGAGUUCUACCAGUAUAACCCCAAUGGCUCUGUCUGGGGUAACAUAGUUUGGGGCCACUCAGUUUCGACAGACCUCGUCAACUGGAUCCCGCUUGAAACAGCAAUAGAGCGGGACACCCCGAGCGACAUAAACGGUUGCUGGACCGGCUCAGCCACAAUUCUCCCUGGUAACCGAUUGGUCAUCAUAUACACCGGUGCCGACCCAGAGAAGCGUCAGGUCCAAAACAUUGUGGUUCCGAAAAACCUGUCUGACCCAUACCUGAGAGAAUGGACCAAAGCCGGAAAUAACCCGGUGAUCCAACCGGUCGGACCGGGCUUGAACUCAGGCCAGUUCAGGGAUCCGACAACUGGUUGGAUCGGACCUGAUGGACUGUGGAGGAUAGCAGUUGGUGCUGAGCUCAACGGCGACAGUGCUGCACUUUUGUACAAGAGCAAAGACUUUCUGAACUGGACUAGAGUUGACCACCCACUGUAUUCAUCCAAUUCCUCCUCUAUGUGGGAGUGUCCGGAUUUCUUUGCAGUAUUGCCGGGCAAUAGCGGUGGACUGGACCUGUCUGCAGCGAUCCCGAAUGGUGCCAAGCAUGUCCUCAAGAUGAGCCUGGAUUCCUGUGACAAGUACAUGAUUGGGGUUUAUGAUCUGAAAAGUGACACCUUUAUUCCAGAUACUGUCCUAGAUGACCGUCGGCUAUGGUCGAGGAUUGAUUAUGGUAAUUUCUAUGCCUCAAAGUCGUUUUUCGACUCGAAGAAGGGCAGGAGGAUCAUAUGGGGUUGGACUAAUGAGACAGAUAGUUCUUCAGACGAUGUUGCGAAAGGUUGGGCAGGAAUCCAUGCAAUUCCCAGGACAAUUUGGUUAGACAGCCAUGGCAAGCAGUUGCUGCAAUGGCCAGUUGAAGAGGUCGAGUCCCUUCGAGGAAAUGAAAUCAACCAUCAAGGACUAGAGCUGAAGAAGGGAGGUCUGUUUGAGAUUAAGGGAGCUGACAGUUUCCAGGCUGAUGUGGAGAUAGACUUUGAGCUGACGUCCAUCGAUAAAGCUGAUCCUUUCGAUCCCUCCUGGCUUUUGGACGUCGAGAAGCAUUGCCGGGAAGCGGGUGCAUCAGUCAAUGGUGGCAUAGGUCCGUUUGGACUUGUUGUCCUGGCCUCUGACAACAUGGAGGAGCACACUGCUGUGCACUUCCGGGUGUACAAGUCAGAGCAGAAGUACAUGAUACUCAUGUGCUCUGAUCUAAGAAGUUCUUCGUUGAGGCCAGGACUGUACACACCAGCCUAUGGAGGCUUCUUUGAAUACGACCUGGAAAAAGAAAAGAAGAUAUCUCUGAGAACUCUGAUUGAUCGGUCGGCGGUGGAGAGCUUCGGCGGUGGCGGCAGGGUCUGCAUCAUGGCCAGAGUGUACCCCGUGGCGGUUGUCGACGGCGUGGCCCACAUGUAUGCCUUCAACAACGGCAGUACCACGGUCAGGGUGCCACAGCUCAGGGCCUGGAGCAUGAGGAGAGCACAAGUGAAUGUGAAAGGGAUGGAGUGA
rnacentral:rRNA from 1 species